GAUCUGUUAUGCAGUUUGAACUCAUCAAGAACCUUAGCACAAAGAGGGAAGGCUGAAGUUUCUUUUUCUUCACGGUGGGACCUCGUAAUUAGAAAUGUCUAGAAAAAUGAUGGGUUGGAAAUGAGAGGGAGGAGAUGCAGACGGCAAACUUGGCUAACCUUUCACCUAUAUAGGACGGACCAUGAUGUCGAUCCUAACACAAUCUUUACAUUGGUAAGCAGUCACUGUCCAGUUCAAGGAAAGAGGGCAAGGUAGGGUGCCUUUUUCUGGUUUCUUUUUUGUUUCCCUCAGCUGAGGACGUCUUGCUGUUUAAGGACAAGAAUUGCUGGUGAUAUUUCUCUCAAGGCAUUGCAUAUUCUUUUA